AUUGAACGCUGGCGGCAUGCCUUACACAUGCAAGUCGAACGGCAGCAUGGAGAGCUUGCUCUCUGAUGGCGGGUGGCGAACGGGUGAGUAAAGCAUCGGAACGUACCGUGUAGUGGGGGAUAACGUAGCGAAAGUUACGCUAAUACCGCAUACGCACUGAGGUGGAAAGCAGGGGAUCGUAAGACCUUGCGCUAUACGAGCGGCCGAUGUCAGAUUAGCUAGUUGGUAGGGUAAAGGCCUACCAAGGCGACGAUCUGUAGCGGGUCUGAGAGGAUGAUCCGCCACACUGGGACUGAGACACGGCCCAGACUCCUACGGGAGGCAGCAGUGGGGAAUUUUGGACAAUGGGGGCAACCCUGAUCCAGCCAUGCCGCGUGAGUGAAGAAGGCCUUCGGGUUGUAAAGCUCUUUCGGCCGGGAAGAAAUCGCACAGGCUAAUACCCUGUGUGGAUGACGGUACCGGCAUAAGUAGCACCGGCUAACUACGUGCCAGCCGCCGCCGUAA
rnacentral:rRNA from 1 species